UAUUAGAGUUUCUGCCUGCCCAGUCACACACAUUCAACGGCCGCGGUACCCUAACCGUGCAAAGGUAGCAUAAUCAUUUGUUCUUUAAUUAAGGACUUGUAUGAAAGGCCCAACGAGGAUUUUACUGUCUCCCACUUCCAAUCAGUGAAAUUGACCCCCCUGUGAAGAGGCAGGGAUGACCCCAUAAGACGAGAAGACCCUACGGAACUUCAAUUAACUGGCCUAACCAUAACCCACAUAAACCAACAGGAACAACCCCCCACAACCUAGACCAACAAUUUCGGUUGGGGCGACCUUGGAGUACAAAAAACCCUCCAAACAACCACACACUUAGACUUUACCAGUCAACGUACCUCAAAACUAACCCAAUUGACCCAAGCAAUUGAUCAACGGAACAAGCUACCCUAGGGAUAACAGCGCAAUCCUAUUUCAGAGUCCAUAUCGACAAUAGGGUUUACGACCUCGAUGUUGGAUCAAGGACAUCCUAAUGGGCGCA
rnacentral:rRNA from 1 species